rnacentral:lncRNA from 1 species
CUGAACCAGCAGCCGCCGCCAGCCUCCUUGCCGGCGCUGCAGCCGCCUUCACCGAGGGGAACGGGCUCCCCUCGGCUCCCUGGUGCCGUAGCCAUCCUCCCCUAGCCACCUGACCUCCCAGCUGGCCGCCCCCUCCCUCCCUGUAGCCUGCACGGGAGAGGAAGAAAGAAGAACGCAGGAAGAAGAACGAUGGGGAGAAAGAAGCAGAGAGAGGGGAAAAAAAAAAGAAAAGAAAAGAAAAAAAAGAAAGAGCAGAAGAAAAGGAGAAAAAGAGAGAGAGAGAAAAGAAAUUAAAGAAAAACAAAU